rnacentral:tRNA from 1 species
ACCUGGCUUGCUUAGUCAGUAAAGCAUGUGACUCUUAAUCUUGGGGUCAUGAGUUUGAGUUUCAUGUUGGGUA